ACUUAAAUUGAAGAGUUUGAUCAUGGCUCAGAUUGAACGCUGGCGGCAGGCCUAACACAUGCAAGUCGAGCGGUAGCACAGAGAGCUUGCUCUCGGGUGACGAGCGGCGGACGGGUGAGUAAUGUCUGGGAAACUGCCUGAUGGAGGGGGAUAACUACUGGAAACGGUAGCUAAUAC
rnacentral:rRNA from 2 species